CCCCACUCCUCAGAACAAGCCACCAAUGUAUGUUCCUCUUAAAUGCUGCUGUUGUUGUUUUGUAGUUUUUGAGACAGGGUUUUACACAGACAAGGCAGGCCUCCCACUCGGUGAUAUAUAGCCAAAGAGAACCUCGAACUCCCCAUCCCCUUGUUGAUUUGUUCCUGGCACUGGUAUUACAGGUGCACCCCCAUUGCAUCUCCAAAUGCCUCUGGAGGGCUAAGUAAACAGAAUUCUGAAAUGAAAGACUCCAUCUCCUUCGAGAAUAAAGGGUACAAGGAAAGGCAAGUGACAAUCACAUCAUCUGUGUCCUUUCAGAGUAUGGCAUGCAGUAAAGGGGUGUUCUCACAGAAGUUGAGCUGGGACAGUGAACAGAGGCCCCAGCUUGGAGAAAAGAAGGUGCUCUCUGGAAGACCAAGCCAGGUCAAGUGACAGCAUCCCCAAGUCCUAGUGGUUCCCUGCCCAACUAUUGCUGGUGUCGCUGUUCUCCACACAGGGAGAACUCUUGGAACUAAGGGAACAACACAGCUCCAGCCAACCCACCGUGGGGCCCAGACCUGAUACUUGCAGACCUGAAGGAAGUUCACAUUGUUUUUACAAGACAUCUUGUCGUGUGGUUCUGCUCUUUUCUCACCUAAAAGGAUGAGGGGCCUUCUGAUGUACCACAGUGACCUUGAAGGUGACAACGACACCAUCCAUUCUUGCAAUAUCAUGACAGCUGCCUCUAGCACAGAGGGAAGUGGUACACCUGAUCCAUCCCCCAGAUGGCAGGAUGCUUAUGAAGACAUCAGACAACAUCAGUGCAGAAGAGGGACUCAGGGAAGAUGUGUUCAUCAAUCCAAGAGACCUAAGAGGGAAGUGAUUCUAUCUGUCUUUAUUUCAAUUGGUGUUUUCCUCAGUUGCUCCACCCCUGGAGAAGAGGAUACUUGAGUUCAGGGCAGGUGAUCCAAUGUGGGUGACUUCUCCAAUAUAUGGAAGCUGCAAGCCAAGGAAACUUUGAAUAGACUGAUGACAUUUGGAGAGAAGCAAAGCUGGGGUGAAGUGAUUGGGAUCUAUUUGCUAGAUACAAAAGUCACUUUCUUCAUGUAGAAGAAUAUCCCUCAGAUUAAUAACUGAAGAGCAGAAUGAUGAUGGUUCACAACAGAGGAAAAGCAAGUCGGUUUCUCUCUGAAGAGAUGAGACUUAAAACAAUGGGGGGGAUCCCUUUUGUCCCUUUGCUGAGGCAGAAGUUUGAAAACAUUUUCUCUUAGUGAAUCUAAGAUAGUGACACUCGGGGCUUCUGAGAAUAUAAACUAAUUAUAAACUAAUACAUUGUCCUUGGAGAUGGGUUUCAGAAUACUGUGUGUGAGGCGUGUGUGUGGGAGGUGUGUGAGAGAGAUGGGUAUGGUGUGUGUGUGUGUGGGAUGUGUUGUGUAUAUGUGUGUGUGAGAGAGGGUGUAUGUGUGUGUGUGAGGGGUGUGUAUGUGGUAUGGGUGUGUGAGGGG
rnacentral:lncRNA from 1 species